GGGGAAUCUUCCGCAAUGGACGAAAGUCUGACGGAGCAACGCCGCGUGAGUGAUGACGGCCUUCGGGUUGUAAAGCUCUGUUAAUCGGGACGAAAGGCCUUCUUGCGAAUAGUUAGAAGGAUUGACGGUACCGGAAUAGAAAGCCACGGCUAACUACGUGCCAGCAGCCGCGGUAAUACGUAGGUGGCAAGCGUUGUCCGGAAUUAUUGGGCGUAAAGCGCGCGCAGGCGGAUCAGUCAGUCUGUCUUAAAAGUUCGGGGCUUAACCCCGUGAUGGGAUGGAAACUGCUGAUCUAGAGUAUCGAAGAGGAAAGUGGAAUUCCUAGUGUAGCGGUGAAAUGCGUAGAUAUUAGGAAGAACACCAGUGGCGAAGGCGACUUUCUGGACGAAAACUGACGCUGAGGCGCGAAAGCCAGGGGAGCGAACGGGAUUAGAUACCCCGGUAGUCCUGGCCGUAAACGAUGGGUACUAGGUGUAGGAGGUAUCGACCCCUUCUGUGCCGGAGUUAACGCAAUAAGUACCCCGCCUGGGGAGUACGACCGCAAGGUUG
rnacentral:rRNA from 1 species